rnacentral:rRNA from 1 species
GACGAACGCUGGCGGCGUGCUUAACACAUGCAAGUCGAACGGAAAGGCCCUGCUUUUGUUUGGUGCUCGAGUGGCGAACGGGUGAGUAACACGUGAGUAACCUGCCCUUGACUUUGGGAUAACUUCAGGAAACUGGGGCUAAUACCGGAUAGAAUCUCCUGCUGCGUGGUGGGGGUUGGAAAGUGUCGGCGGUUGGGGAUGGACUCGCGGCUUAUCAGCUUGUUGGUGGGGUAGUGGCUUACCAAGGCUUUGACGGGUAGCCGGCCUGAGAGGGUGACCGGCCACAUUGGGACUGAGAUAAGGCCCAGACUCCUACGGGAGGCAGCAGUGGGGAAUAUUGCACAAUGGGCGGAAGCGUGAUGCAGCAACGCCGCGUGCGUGAUGACGGCCUUCGGGUUGUAAACCGCUUUCGCCUGUGACGAAGCGUGAGUGACGGUAAUGGGUCAAGAAGCACCGGCUAACUACGUG